UGAGACGUGGAGUUUUAAGUUCCUGACCCUAUUGUCUGCCUCUUCUAGAAAUGGAGGUGUGUGAGCCACCACUGGGCCUGCCUCCUGCAUUGCUUUGCACAGAGGAAAAACCAGUGGAGACCUUCCUUCAUCUCAGCCAAGGAGGUUUCCUUUCAGAGCUGUCUCCUAAGGAGCCGCAGUAUGCAUAUUUUAUUCAAAGACUUAUUUCGAGGACCAAGAUACUAAAUAUGAAACCACUUGGUGAAGAAGCCAUGUAAAAAGUCAAGGUCCAGAUGAAGGUGUGAUGUGGAAGAAUGAUCGGCACUGUCUCUGACCCCAGGAAUCCCAGGAGUUCUUCACGGCUACCUUUAAACAACUUCUCAGGCUGCUUCCUGUGUUUCCUGCAAAUGGGGCACAAGAAGAUGUACCAUUUGAUGGCCUGGUACACUCGGACUUUCUAUCUAGAAAUUCUCUUUUCUCUUUCAUUGUUUUUUUUCUUUGAAGUAUAUAUGAGGUUGAGGGAGCGCCUGUAUAUUUUUUUCCAUUUCACCAAAAUGAAUAUUUCUUAUGGCUAGGGUCUGUGAUCUCUUCUGGCACAGGUGAAUAAAAUACAACUGACCGUAGGAGGCCUGAAAGCGAGAACAAACGUACUUUUUUUACUCACAGGCGAUUCUCAGAUCUAAGACUCCUGUGUGGUUAGACAUGCACCAAAUUAACGUACGAGCCCAAGUG